UACGUAGGGAGCAAGCGUUGUCCGGAAUCAUUGGGCGUAAAGCGCGCGUAGGCGGCCCGAUAAGUCCGCUGUAAAAGUCAACGGCUCAACUGUUGAAAGCCGGUGGAUACUGUCGGGCUAGAGUACGGAAGAGGCAAGUGGAAUUCCCAGUGUAGAGGUGAAAUUCGUAGAUAUUGGGAAGAACACCGGUGGCGAAGGCGGCGACCUGGUCCGAUACUGACGCUGAGGCGCGAAAGCGUGGGGAGCAAACAGG
rnacentral:rRNA from 1 species